AUCCACUGAAGCUUCUCUGCUCAGAAAAGCCUGAUCAGAAUUGCUAGUUUCAACUGUCGGACAGUUGUUCCAGGUAAAGCCUGGUGGUAAUUCAUCCGCUGAAGCCUCUCUGCUCAGAGAAGCCUGAUCAGAAUUGCCAGUUCUUCCUGUCGGACCUUUAUUCCGGAUAAAGCCUGGUGGUAAUUCAUCCGCUGAAGCCUCUCUGCGCAGAGAAGCCUGAUCAGAAUUGCCAGUUCUUCCUGUAGGACCUUUAUUCCAGGUAAAUCCUGGUGGUAAUUCAUCUGCUGAAGCUUCUCUGAUCAGACAAGCCUGAUCAGAAUUGCCAGUUCUUACUGUCGGACCAUUAUUCCAGGUAAAGCCUGGUGGUAAUUCAUCCGCUGAAGCUUCUCUGCUCAGAGAAGCCUGAUCAGAAUUGUUAGUUCCUACUCUUGGACCUUUAUUCCAGGUAAAGCCUGGUGGUAAGUCAUCUGCUGAAGCUUCUCUGGCCAGAGAAGCCUGGUUGGAAUUGCCAGUUCUUAAUGUCGGAUCUUUAUUCCAGGUAAAGCCUGGUGGUAAUUCAUCCGCUGAAGUUUCUCCGCUCAGAUCUUUGUUCUGGAUAAGUAUUUCCUUUCCCCAGCCUGGUGGUAAUUCAUCCGCUGAAGCAUCUUUGCUCAGAGAAGCCUGAUCACACUGAAGCUUCUCUGGUCGGAGAAGCCUGAUCGGAAUUGCCAGUUCCUAAUGUCGGACCUUUAUUCCAGGUAAAGCCUGGUGGUAAUUCAUCCGCUGAAGCUUCUCCGCUCAGAUCUUUGUUCUGGAUAAGUAUUUCCUUUCCCCAGCCUGGUGGUAAUUCAUCCGCUGGAGCUUCUUUGCUCAGAGAAGCCUGAACAGAAUAGCCAGUUCCUACAAUAGGAUCUUUGUUCGGGGCAAGUAUUUCCUUUUCCCAGGCUGGUCGUAAUUCCUCCGCUGAAGCUUCUCUGCUCAGAGAAGCCUGAUCAGAAUUGCCAGUUCCUGCAGUAGAAUCUUUGUUCGGGGAAAGUAUUCCGUUGUCCCAGCCUGGUGGUAAUUGAUCUGCUGAAGCUUCUCUGCUCAAAGCCUGCUCAGAAUUGCCUGUUCCUACUGUAGGAUCUUUGGUCGGGGCAAGUAUUUCCUUUUCCCAGGUUAGUGGUAAUUCCUCCGCUGAAGCUCCUCUGCUCAGAGAAGCCUGACCAGAAUUGCCAGUUCCUACUGUCAGAUCUUUGUUCGAGGCAAGUGUUUCCUUUCCUAAGCCUGGGGGUAAUUCAUCGACUGAAGCUUCUCUGCUCAGAGAAGCCUGAUCAGAAUUGCCAAUUCCUACUGUCGGAUCUUUGUUCUGGGCAAGUAUUU
rnacentral:lncRNA from 1 species